GAUCUCCUGUUCCUGAUGUACGUGAUGAUUACAUAUUUGCUGUUAUAAAGUAAUAUGGAUUGAUUAGCAGUGUGGAGUCCUCACUCUUGACUGUACUUUGGUUAUGAAUAAAUGAGAUUUGUUAAAACUUUAGUGUGUGUCACUGUGUUUUGUUAGGCUUUCAAGUUUGGCAGUUUUUGUGUGGAAAAGUGAUUGCUUCUGCUAUCAAGUUAAUAAUGUAAUGGGUUUAGUAAUAUGUAAGAGUACUCAUUAGUGGCUUGUAUAUUAUCUUUAUUAGCAGAAUUGUUAGUAGUGUUGUACUUUGGUUUAGUGAGAUGUUUGAGUCAUUUAAACAUACAAUCAAGGACAUUUUUCUGACAUCAUGUUUCGGAAGUUAAUUAUAUCUUUAAUUAAUGUAACUAAAAAAACCUUUUGAUCAUUAGAAAACUGAGUGUUUAACUCAUACUAAUCACUAAUCACUCAUACCCAUUUCACUAAUCUCUCCAAAUUGGAAAUCCUAGACUUGUCUCAUAACAUGGGGAUUGUGGAGAUUGGUGAUGAUUGGAUUCCUCCUUUUCAAUUACAAUAUUGGAUUCUACCAUCUUUCCAAUAAUAAAUUUACAGACUUAGUUUCUUUUCUAUGCAGCAAAAGUAAGCCUAACAUAUUGACAAUGUUGGAUUUAUCAAACAAUGAAUUAAUGGGUGAGUUGCCUAAUUGUUGGAAUAAUCUAACCUUAUGGCUUCAGUUAUCAAGUUCAUUUUCCUACACAUAUUGUUAAUGAUAUAUAUCUGAUGAUACUCUUUUUCUUGAGACACACUCUUAAGAGAAGUGAUAAAAAUAGAUGAACUAAGUGUUCAACUCAAUCACUUUGUUUUGACUGAAACAAAGGAUUGUAGCACAAUCUGAGUUGAGUUAUGUCCAAACCACACCCGAGUACAAAAGCUUAUUGGGAAAAGGCUAAAUAGUCUGUACAUAAGCUUAACUUUACACAUAACCUUACCCCCACCACUGAUCGAAAUUAACUUUACACAUAAUAAGCUUAUCAUAUCUAAGUCAUUCUGUCAAAAUUACUAUUAUUGUUAAGAAACACUCUAAAUCUCUUAUCUACUUCGGAUUCUUCACCUAAUACUGUUGUUGAGAUGUACUUUUAAGGCCAUAGAUCACACUUUAUUGGAUAGUAUUAAUAAAGUAUUAGGAACUUGCCCAAUUCUUUGAAAAGCAAUCCAGACAAUACAAAUUUAUAAUAAAGUCAUCAUUUCCAAAAUUUUAAGCUCAUGGAUCACAUUUUACCUAAUUAUGUAAUUGGUCUUUGGAAUUUAUUAUCAAUUGGGCCAACAACUAACUAUUCCAAAUUCGGUGACUACAUUCUUUUUAAAGAAAAGUAGAUGCUUUCUGUAUUUGGAUACUGUGGUGAUGACCAUGGACUCUAGUAAGUAUUAAACAACAUAUUGCAACAAUUAGAACAUAAUAUUCCAUCUCAUCCUUAUGCAAUUAUUACAAAAUUAUCAUGAAUUAAUGAUAGAUAAAUCAUCUCUGAUAAAUGAACACCUGAUACACCGCAAAUUUCCAGCAGGUAUGGUUACACCAGCUGCAAAUCUAAAGUCAGGCUAAAGGAUGGACGUACGUUAAUAAUGAACAAGAAGUGAAAAUGUGCGAAGGCGAUGAGACAAAUAUAAAUGUACUUAUGUAGGAGUGAAGGUUGAAAUGUUCAAAAACAAUCCUGAAAUAUAUUUUAAGAUGCUAAUAUAAUGAAUCUCAUUCAGAUUCCAAAUCAUGCUUUCACAUCACACUAACAUCACUCUAGUGCAUUAAAAUGAGUCCAUAAAACAUGUUAAGAAUCCUACGUCGGAUGGUUAUAGAUUUAACAAUCACUAGUGCAUUAAAAUGAGUCCAUACUAAUUAGCUCAUUUUAUGCACUCUGUUUGCAUCUAUUGCCAAAAUAUAUAAUGUUGAAUUAGUCGAUAUUUUCCAGUCCUUUAAACAUCAUGCAAUAAGGACAUUGUUUUGAAACUUGUAUAUCACAAUCAAGUUUUGGAAGUAAUAUCUUCAUUUUAAUACAACUAAAUAUAUUUAUAUUAAAAUGUUAGUUAUGUUUUUAACUCAUACGAAAAAACAACAGCACUAAUUUCACCUAGUUGUACUGUUAAUAAAGUGUUAUAGGAAUUACCUUUCCCAAUUCUUUCAAAAAGAAUCUAGACAAUACUAAUAAAGUCAUUGAUUACAAAAUUUAAAAGGACAUGUGGAUCACACAUUAACUAAUUAAUUAUAUCAUUGAAUUUGGCAAUUUACUAUCAAAUGAGUUCACAACAGACCAAUGAACCCAACCAUUCAGUCACUACAUUCUUUUUAAAGGAAAAGUAAAUGCUUUUUGUAUUUAUAAAAGACCUUUACAUGUACAAUGUAUCUUUGAAAACAAAAUUGCACAAUGACGUGAAAACAAUUGAAUAGCAAGAAACACAUGCACGCACCUUGGAAACAUCGCGCAAAUGGUGUUUUACAGAUCGACCUCAAGCACUAUAUAUCUGUGUAUGUGUUAGUUCUUGAGAGUAUACUUUCCAUUAGAAAAACUCAAUUUUAUUUUGCGAGCGAAAUUACAAUGAGAAACUUUAAUAUUCUUAUAUUCCAUGCAUUGUUGGUGUUGUUCUCCAUUGUCGGGUUCAGCUCAGCAACAGAGAAUGAAGAAAUGAUGUGCAAAGAGAGGGAGAGACGUGCACUCCUCAAGUUCAAACAAAGUCUUCAAGAUGAGUUUGGCAUGCUGUCCACAUGGAAGGACGAUCCAUAUGCAGAUUGCUGCAAAUGGAAAGGAGUUCAAUGCAACAAUAAAACCGGCUAUGUUCAAAAGCUUGACCUACACAGUUCUUAUGAUUAUCAAUUCAGCGGUGAAAUCAAUCCUUCUAUAACUGAGCUACAACAUCUAAAAUAUCUAGAUCUUAGUGGUAUGUUUACUGGAUCCCACAUCCCAAUUUGUUUUGGCAACUUCAGCAAGUUAAGAUACCUUAAUCUCUCAUCUGGUGGUUAUGAUGGGGAAAUUCCUUCUCAACUUGGAAAACUAUCACAGUUGCAACACCUUGAUCUCAGCUACAAUUAUCUUAUUAGAACAAUCCCUUUUCAACUUGGGAAUCUAUCCCAUUUGUGACACCUUGAUCUCAGUGGCAAUGAACUCAUUGGAGAAAUACCCUGGCAACUAGGAAAUCUUUCAUUGUUGCAGUCUCUUUUAUUCGGUUCCAGAUUUCGAAUCGAAUCCAAUCUUAGAAUCAACAGCCAAAGUCAAGGCAAUGUUGAGUGGCUACCAAAACUCUCUUCCUUGAGAAAUCUUGACUUGAGCGGUGUUCAAAAACUCAACGACUCUUCUCAUCAGACCCUACGAUUCCUAGUGAAGCUUCCAAGUCUUGAAAAGUUGUAUCUCAGACAAUGUGGCCUUACGAAUGCCAACAUUCUUCCUUUAUUUGAUUCCCGAUUGAACUUUUCUACCUGUCUUUAUGACCUUAAUCUAAGUGACAAUCAGCUGACAUCAUCGAAAAUAUUGCACAAGGUGCUUAACUGCAGCUCCAAUCUUCAAAAGCUUGACCUUUCUUCUAACUUCUUAACAGGUGUCAUUUCUGAUGAUUUUGGAAACAUAAUGCAUUCACUUGUGAAUCUCGAUCUCUCAUACAAUAGUUUUGGAGGCAAGAUCCCAAAAUCCAUUGGAAAUAUAUGCACCUUGCAGACAUUUGCUGCUAAUGAUAACCGCUUUAGUGGAGAGCUUUCAGAUUUUAUCAUCCAUAAUAACUAUUCCCACUGCAUUGGAAAUGUAUCCUCGUUACAUGAACUAUCCUUAUCGUAUAAUCAGAUUUCUGGCAUGUUGCCUGACCUUUCAGUCCUCUCAUCUUUGAGAAUGUUAAUGCUUUGGGACAACAAAUUAAUUGGAGAAAUACCAACAAGCAUCGGAUCUCUCAAGAAGUUAGAGGAAUUGUAUCUAGGAGGAAACUAUAUUGAAGGUGUUGUCGCUGAAUCCCAUUUCACUAAUCUGUCCAAAUUGCAACACCUAGAUUUGUCGGAAAACCUAUUGACUAUGAAGGUUAGUGAUGAUUGGGUUCCUCCUUUUAAAUUAAAUUAUUUUGAUAUGGGAUCUUGCAAUCUCAAUUCUUCUUUUCCUAUUUGGCUCCAUACUCAAAAUUUCUUAGAGAAACUUGACAUUUCAAACAGCAAUAUCACUGGCCAGGUUCCCAACUUAGAACUCGAGUUUACAAACAAUCCUGAAGUAAAUUUGAGUUCAAAUCAACUUGAAGGUUCCGUUCCUUCUUUUCUAUUACAAUCACAAGCACUGCAUCUUUCCGAUAAUAAAUUUUCAGAUUUAGUUUCCUUUCUAUGCAGAAAAAGUAAGCCUAAUAUUUUGAAAAUUUUGAAUUUGUCAAACAAUCAAUUAAAAGGUGAGCUGCCUGAUUGUUGGGAUAAUGUAACCUCAUUACAGUUUGUUGAUCUGAGUAAUAACAAUUUGUCGGGAAAGAUUCCAUCCUCAAUGGGUGCCCUUGUUAACAUGGAGGCUUUGAUCUUAAGAAAUAAUAGUUUGAGUGGACAACUUCCUUCGUCCUUGAAGAAUUGCUCAAGAAAGUUGGCUUUGUUGGACCUUGGAGAAAAUAUGUUUCAUGGUCCAAUACCUUCAUGGAUUGGAGACAGUUUACACCAAUUAAUUAUCUUAAGCCUUCGAUCUAAUAACUUCAACAGAGGUCUACCUUCAAACCUAUGUUAUUUGAGAGAACUUCAAGUCUUUGAUUUGUCACUUAAUAGCUUAUCGGGAGGAAUCCCAACAUGUGUAAACAAUUUUACUUCAAUGGCCAAGAACUCAACUUCGUUGAAAGAUCAUUCGUAUACAAUCAAUUUUCCCAAUGGUUCUAUCACUCUACCAUAUGAUUUCGACAUAUUCUUAUUUUGGAAAGGUGUAGAUCGAAGCUUCAUAGGUGCAGAUAAGCUUUUAAAAAGUAUUGAUCUUUCAAGCAACAAUCUAACAGGGAAAAUGCCUACUGAAAUUGAGUACUUGUUUGGAUUGGUUUCCUUAAAUUUGUCAAGGAACAAUCUCAGUGGAGAAAUCAUUUCAAACAUAGGAAACUUCAAAUCACUCGAAUUUCUUGAUCUGUCAAGAAAUCAUCUAUCAGGCAAAAUUCCUUCCAGUCUAACUCAUAAUGAUCGUCUCACUAUGUUGGAUUUGUCAAACAAUCAACUCUACGGAAAAGUUCCAACUGGAACACAGCUGCAGACAUUUAACGCUUCAAGUUUUAAGGGAAAUUCUAAUCUUUGUGGAGAACCACUUGAUACAAAAUGUCCAGGAGAUGAUCCACCAAAACAUCAAGUUCCAGCAACUAAUGAUGCAGGAGAUGACAGUUCAAUAUUUUUGGAAACAUUAUACAUGAGCAUGGGGCUAGGAUUCUUCACGAGUUUUUGUGGCUUUGUUGGUUCAAUUUUGUUAGUACCGUCUUGGAGAGAAACCUACUCCAAAUUCUUGAAUGCUUUAAUAUUGAGAAUCAUCAUGUGGUGGAAGCAGUGAAUGUAUCUGGCCAGUUGCUCUAAAGUGGAUGAAUGAUGGGCAGGUAUUUCUGUUAUUUCUUACUCUGCUAUUUAGCUUUGUGAUAGUUGCUUUAUGAAUGACUGAAAUUCAUUUACCAUAUGACAAUUUUAUUAUUACCACUGUUGAUAUAUGUGUAACUAAAACAUUUCUACAAUUUGUAUUGCAUUUCCCAGUGAUCAAUAAUCUGUUUCUUUUUAACAUUCAAGUUAGUUUUGUAAAAUCAUGUCUUGUGUCAUAAGAAAGUAUAAAAAUAAAUCUUCAAAGUCUAGAAAUGGAAAAUUGUAUUUUUUUUACUUGCUCAUAUGUUUGAUCCUAGUGGUUUAAUGCUCUUUCCAAAUACUGAAAUUGAAUUUUGUUUUUCAGGGUCUUCAAUUUCUUUGUUAUGAGAUAAAUAUUUGGCUAGCAUCCUGGAGAGUACACCUUUGAUGAAUAACUAUUCUGUUGUACUAAAUAAAAUGAAUGCAGUUCAAAUUUCUUGUAUGAUAACGUUGAUUGUAUUUUGUUAUGUUUUGAAGUUUGGUAAAUUUUUUAGAUGGAAAUUUGGGAUUUUUGCUGUCAAGUUAUUAUGUGAUACAUCAAAUUACUUAACAUAAUGCUAACUGAAUAUCACAACAUGCACUCUGCUUUCAUACUAACAAUACAAUAUAUGUUUCUUAAAAUUUAGACAGAAAGUAUAUCACAAUCAAGUAAAUGACUUGUGCAAUUCAUGAAUAUCAUGAAAAGUAUAUCACAGUUGAUUGAAGAAAGGUGAACUCAUGGAUAUUGUAUUUUGAGUUAGAGAUUCAUGAAUUGGAUAAGCCAUUUACUUAUUGUGUUCCUAGGACAUUGUUUUGACACUUGAAUAUCACAAAAUUAAGUUUUAGAAGUUAUAAAAACAAAUUUUGAUUUUGAGUUUUUUUUUUUUUUUNNNNNNNNNNNNNNNNNNNNNNNNNNNNNNNNNNNNNNNNNNNNNNNNNNNNNUUUUUUAUAUAUAAAUACAUAUUCAUGUGCGUGCAAUCAUAACAACUCCAAUAAAAACACUAAGACAAAGAAUUCUAAUGUUAAUGCAUGUUCAAGAUUAAAACUUUACUUUCUUUAAGAAGUCAAAUAAUAUAUUAACUGAAAAUCUCAAUUAAGUACAUGGGAAAAAAAUACAAAAAGUCCAAAAGAGGGGCAAAAAUAGCACCCAAAAAGAAAGAACGUUACACAUUUAAGUUGAAACAUCAUGUAGUUUUAAUCCCUAAACAAAUUAACGGAUUGUACCAAUUAUUUAAAUCAUACUCGAAGCCUUUUACCUUUGAAUUCAAUCACCAAACAAGAGUUAAAACUAUUAGCUAAGAUUGAAUGAGUUGAGAGUCGACUUAUCAAGUUAGUAACUAUUUAGAAUUAUAUUUAGAAGUCUUGUAGAAAAGUUAAUCCUACAAAAGGUCAAUUAAAGCUUUUGAUAGAUUUACCAAUUUUUUUGUCUAUGAUAGUUAGCAAAAAUAUAAAUAGGUAAUAAUUUAAAGUGUUAUUUAAACUUCUUAGAUUAGUCGAAAGACAAAAAAUUAGUAUGUUACAAAUGUUGGUUGUAGUGGAUUUUUUAACCCAUAAUUAUAUGUUUGUGGACUACACAUGUGGCAAAUUUUUAUUGGUGUUGGAUAAGUUACCCACAAUUUAGUCUCACAAGUGUAGCUCAAAUGGUAGCAAAUAGAGACAUUAUCGGAGUAACCGAGGUUUGAACCACACAUUCCUCCACAUUUAAAUGUGUGAGUCUUGUCAUUAGACUAUUUGACAAAAAAAAUUACCCACAAUUUUUUAAAGGAGUAUUAAAAAAAACUAAUUUAGAAUGUAACCAAGUAAUAUAGAAUAAUUUAGCUGCAUUUGAAUAAUUUUCUUUUCUUUUAUUGUAUGAGAAUUAAAAUACCUGAAUAUCCAAUUAGUCCACAUGUGCCAUGAUGAUGCAAAUUAGAUAGAAAUUUCUAAUCAAAUUUUGUACUAUUUAUUUAGUAUCUAUUUUGGAUUUUCUACGUCCAUCUUUCCCUCUCCUUCAAGCAAAAAAGUUGAAUUCACAUAUUACAAGAGAAUUUUUUAUACUUAUUUUUGUUAGGGUACAUGUUAGGUAUUUUUGUCAUCCCAAAACAUAAAACAUUUUUGUUAAAUUAGAGAUUAAAAAUAAAUAAAAUUUAUCAACAAUGAAUAAUUCACCUUGUCUUCCCAAAAAUAUUCUCCAACUACGAAGAUUAUAGUCGUCACUAAAUGGCGGUACAAACUUCGUAGAUAUAAUAUGAUAAUCCAAGAGAUAAUUAAUUUUAUAGAGGCUAAAAUCAAUAAUUUUUACUAUCUUUAACAAUUAAUUAAAUUAUUUUGUUAGGGUGGCUUUGUUUGAACUUGGAUGGUGCAAGUCAAGGUGUGUCUUUAGCUAGUUGUGGGGGACUCAUACCAGAUAGAAACAGACAGGGCCGUCUCCGACAAUUUGGAGGCCCCGAACUAAUAAUAAAAAUGGAUCCCAAAUAAAAAAAUAUAAUUUUUUUUUAUAAAAAGAACAUUAUAUAUUUAAAUUGUAAAUAACAUAAAAAAAUAGUCAUUAUAGGAUGGGAUGAACAGCUCAAUUGAUUAAGCUAGCUAGUUGAGUUCAAUUACAAGGUUUGGAUCUAUCAUCUUUGAAUUUGAAUUCUAGAUUUCCUAAUUGGCUUCAAACACAAAAUAUCUUAUCCAAUCUUUACCUUUAAAAUGUCGGUAAUCUACCUCCAAUACCUAUUUGGUUUUGGGGCAAAUUGCAAGCAAUAGAUAUAUUGGACAUUUCAAACAACAAUCUUACUGGAAAGUUUCCCAAUUUAGAACUCAAUCUUACCAACUAUCCUACUACAAUAGAUUUGAGUUCAAAUCAAUUUCAAGGUUCCAUUCCUUCUUUUUUAUUGCAAGCAAAAUCCCUUAAUCUUUCCAAUAAUAAAUUUGCAGAUUUAGUUCCCAUUCUGUGCAAUAAAAGUAAACCUAACGUUUUGGGAAUUUUGGAUUUAUCAAACAAUGAAUUAAAGGGAGAGUUGCCUGAUUGUUGGAAUAAUUUAACCCUAUUACAAUAUGUUGACCUGAGCAAUAACAAGUUGUCAGGAAAUAUUCCGUUCUCAAUGGGUGCCCUUGUUAACAUGGAGGCUUUGAUUUUAAGAAAUAAUAAUUUGAGUGGACAACUUACUUCCUCAUUGAAGAAUUGCUCAGACAAGCUGGCGAUGGUGGAUCUUGGAGAAAAUAAUUUUGAUGGUCCAAUACCUUCAUGGAUUGGAGACGGUUUACACCAAUUAAUAAUCUUAAGUCUUCGGUUCAAUAAUUUCAGUGGGAGUCUACCUUCAACUCUGUGUUAUUUGGAAAAACUUCAAGUCUUGGAUCUGUCACUAAACAUCAUAUCAGGAGGAAUUCCAUCAUGUAUUAAGAAUUUUACUUCAAUGGCUCAGAACACUAUUAGCUCAACUUCAGGUCAUUCGUAUAAGUGCGGUGUCGUUAUUAAUGGAUUCAUUGGCAUAUCAUAUCAUCUUGACAUAUCCUUGAUGUGGAAAGGUGUAGACCAACAUUUCAAAAAUGCAGAUAUGCUUUUAAAAAGCAUUGAUCUGUCAAGCAACCAUCUUACAGGGGAUAUACCACCUGAAAUGGAGUACUUAAUUGGAUUGAUUUCCUUAAAUUUGUCAAGGAACAAUCUCACUGGAGAAAUCACUUCAAAUAUAGGAUACUUAAAGUUACUAGAUGUUCUUGAUCUGUCGAGAAAUCAUUUGUCGGGCACAAUUCCUUCCAGUUUAGCUCAAAUUGAUCGUCUCUCUGUGUUGAAUUUGUCAAACAAUCAGCUCUAUGGAAAAAUUCCAACUGGAACACAGCUGCAGAGCUUUCCUGCUUCGAGUUUUGAAGGUAAUUCUAAUCUAUGCGGAGAACCCCUUGAUACAAAAUGUCCAGGAGAAGAACCGACAAAAUCACAAGUGUCAACAACAAAUGGAGGAGAUGAGAGUUCAAUAUUUUUGGAAGCAUUAUACAUGAGCAUGGGGAUAGGAUUCUUCANNNNNAAUAUUGUUACUACCUUCUUGGAGAGAAACUUACUCGAAAUUCUUGAACACUUUGAUAUUGAAAGUCUUGAAGUGGUGGAAGCAGUGAAUGUACCAGUCUAGUUGCUCUAAAAUGGAUGAAUGAUGAGCAGGUACUUAUCUUCUUUUUUUACUUUUAUAUGAUUUAACUGAAUCAUGAAUAUUUUUAGUCUUGGGAUAGAUGCUUUUUGCUAUUACUCAUUGUUUGUGAUUUUUCAUGGCUAUUUUUGCAGGAUCUUCGGUUCCUGAUGUAUGUGAUGAUUACAUAUUUGCUGUUAUAGAGUAAUAUGGAUUGAUUAGCAGUGUGGAGUCCUCACUCUUGACUGUACUUUGGUUAUGUGUAUGAUAGUAUGAAUAAAUGAGAUUUGUUAAAACUUUAGUGUGUGUGACUGUGUUUUGUUAGGCUUUCAAGUUUGGCAGUUUUUGUGUGGAAAAGUGAUUGCUUCUGCUAUCAAGUUAAUAAUGUAAUGGGUUUAGUAAUAUGUAAGAGUACUCAUCAUGGCUUGUAUAUUAUCUUUAUUAGCAGAAUUGUUANNNNNNNNNNNNNNNAGUGAUAUGUUUGAGUCAUUUAAACAAACAGUCAAUGACAUUUUUCUGACACUUGUAUAUCACCACAUCAUGUUUCGGAAGUUAAUUAUAUCCUUAAUUAAUGUAACUAAAAAAAC
rnacentral:lncRNA from 1 species